rnacentral:rRNA from 1 species
UUGACGCAGUUGUGCCUGAUGCCAUUUGGUGGAGGGCACAUCUGCCUGUGUGUC